rnacentral:rRNA from 1 species
UACACUCCUACGGGAGGCAGCAGUAGGGAAUCUUCGGCAAUGGGGGCAACCCUGACCGAGCAACGCCGCGUGAGUGAAGAAGGUUUUCGGAUCGUAAAGCUCUGUUGUAAGUCAAGAACGAGUGUGAGAGUGGAAAGUUCACACUGUGACGGUAGCUUACCAGAAAGGGACGGCUAACUACGUGCCAGCAGCCGCGGUAAUACGUAGGUCCCGAGCGUUGUCCGGAUUUAUUGGGCGUAAAGCGAGCGCAGGCGGUUUGAUAAGUCUGAAGUUAAAGGCUGUGGCUCAACCAUAGUUCGCUUUGGAAACUGUCAAACUUGAGUGCAGAAGGGGAGAGUGGAAUUCCAUGUGUAGCGGUGAAAUGCGUAGAUAUAUGGAGGAACACCGGUGGCGAAAGCGGCUCUCUGGUCUGUAACUGACGCUGAGGCUCGAAAGCGUGGGGAGCGAACAGGAUUAGAAACCCGAGUAGUCCCA